rnacentral:rRNA from 1 species
GGGUAGUUUGACUGGGGCGGUCUCCUCCUAAAGAGUAACGGAGGAGCACGAAGGUCAGCUAAUCCUGGUCGGACAUCAGGAGGUUAGUGCAAUGGCAUAAGCUGGCUUGACUGCGAGCGUGACGGCGCGAGCAGGUGCGAAAGCAGGUCAUAGUGAUCCGGUGGUUCUGAAUGGAAGGGCCAUCGCUCAACGGAUAAAAGGUACUCCGGGGAUAACAGGCUGAUACCGCCCAAGAGUUCAUAUCGACGGCGGUGUUUGGCACCUCGAUGUCGGCUCAUCACAUCCUGGGGCUGAAGUAGGUCCCAAGGGUAUGGCUGUUCGCCAUUUAAAGUGGUACGCGAGCUGGGUUUAGAACGUCGUGAGACAGUUCGGUCCC